AAGAUGAAAAGCACUUUGGAAAGAGAGUUAAAAAGCACGUGAAAUUGUUGAAAGGGAAGCGCUUGCGACCAGACCUGCCCGUGGGCGAUCAACCGCCGUUCUCGGUGGUGCACUCGUCGGCGAGCAGGCCAGCAUCGGUUUGGGCGGUCGGACAAAGGCCUUGGGAAUGUAGCUCCCCUCGGGGAGUCCUUAUAGCCCUCGGUGCAAUGCGGCCAGCCCGGAUCRAGGACCGCGCUUCGGCUAGGAUGCUGGCGUAAUAGUUGCAAGCGACCCGUCUUGAAACACGGACCAAGGAGUCUAACAUCUAUGCGAGUGUUUGGGUGUCAAACCCAUGCGCGCAAUGAAAGUGAACGGAGGUGAGAACCCGUUAGGGUGCAUCAUCGACCGAUCCUGAUGUCUUCGGAUGGAUUUGAGUACGAGCAUAAAUGUUGGGACCCGAAAGAUGGUGAACUAUGCCUGAAUAGGGUGAAGCCAGAGGAAACUCUGGUGG
rnacentral:rRNA from 1 species